rnacentral:tRNA from 1 species
AGGAAUUUAGGUUAAUCCAGACCAAGAGCCUUCAAAGCCCUAAGUAAGCAACCUACGCUUAAUUCCUG